GAUGAACGCUGGCGGCGUGCCUAAUACAUGCAAGUCGAGCGAACGGACGAGAAGCUUGCUUCUCUGAUGUUAGCGGCGGACGGGUGAGUAACACGUGGAUAACCUACCUAUAAGACUGGGAUAACUUCGGGAAACCGGAGCUAAUACCGGAUAAUAUUUUGAACCGCAUGGUUCAAAAGUGAAAGACGGUCUUGCUGUCACUUAUAGAUGGAUCCGCGCUGCAUUAGCUAGUUGGUAAGGUAACGGCUUACCAAGGCAACGAUGCAUAGCCGACCUGAGAGUGUGAUCGGCCACACUGGAACUGAGACACGGUCCAGACUCCUACGGGAGGCAGCAGUAGGGAAUCUUCCGCAAUGGGCGAAAGCCUGACGGAGCAACGCCGCGUGAGUGAUGAAGGUCUUCGGAUCGUAAAACUCUGUUAUUAGGGAAGAACAUAUGAGUAAGUAACUGUGCACAUCUUGACGGUACCUAAUCAGAAAGCCACGGCUAACUACGUG
rnacentral:rRNA from 1 species